rnacentral:rRNA from 1 species
AUAACAAUCGAAACCGCAUGGUUUCGGUUUGAAAGGCGCUUUUGCGUCACUGAUGGAUGGACCCGCGGUGCAUUAGCUAGUUGGUGAGGUAACGGCUCACCAAGGCAACGAUGCAUAGCCGACCUGAGAGGGCGAUCGGCCACAUUGGGACUGAGACACGGCCCAAACUCCUACGGGAGGCAGCAGUAGGGAAUCUUCGGCAAUGGACGCAAGUCUGACCGAGCAACGCCGCGUGAGUGAAGAAGGUUUUCGGAUCGUAAAACUCUGUUGUUAGAGAAGAACAAGGAUGAGAGUAGAAUGUUCAUCCCUUGACGGUAUCUAACCAGAAAGCCACGGCUAACUACGUGCCAGCAGCCGCGGUAAUACGUAGGUGGCAAGCGUUGUCCGGAUUUAUUGGGCGUAAAGCGAGCGCAGGCGGUUUCUUAAGUCUGAUGUGAAAGCCCCCGGCUCAACCGGGGAGGGUCAUUGGAAACUGGGAAACUUGAGUGCAGAAGAGGAGAGUGGAAUUCCAUGUGUAGCGGUGAAAUGCGUAGAUAUAUGGAGGAACACCAGUGGCGAAGGCGGCUCUCUGGUCUGUAACUGACGCUGAGGCUCGAAAGCGUGGGGAGCAAACAGGAUUAGAUACCCUGGUAGUCCACGCCGUAAACGAUGAGUGCUAAGUGUUGGAGGGUUUCCGCCCUUCAGUGCUGCAGCUAACGCAUUAAGCACUCCGCCUGGGGAGUACGACCGCAAGGUUGAAACUCAAAGGAAUUGACGGGGGCCCGCACAAGCGGUGGAGCAUGUGGUUUAAUUCGAAGCAACGCGAAGAACCUUACCAGGUCUUGACAUCCUUUGACCACUCUAGAGAUAGAGCUUCCCCUUCGGGGGCAAAGUGACAGGUGGUGCAUGGUUGUCGUCAGCUCGUGUCGUGAGAUGUUGGGUUAAGUCCCGCAACGAGCGCAACCCUUAUUGUUAGUUGCCAUCAUUUAGUUGGGCACUCUAGCGAGACUGCCGGUGACAAACCGGAGGAAGGUGGGGAUGACGUCAAAUCAUCAUGCCCCUUAUGACCUGGGCUACACACGUGCUACAAUGGGAAGUACAACGAGUCGCGAAGUCGCGAGGCUAAGCUAAUCUCUUAAAGCUUCUCUCAGUUCGGAUUGUAGGCUGCAACUCGCCUACAUGAAGCCGGAAUCGCUAGUAAUCGCGGAUCAGCACGCCGCGGUGAAUACGUUCCCGGCCCUUG